AGUGAACGCUGGCGGCAGGCCUAAUACAUGCAAGUCGAACGGCAGCACAGCAGAGCUUGCUCUGUGGGUGGCGAGUGGCGGACGGGUGAGGAAUACAUGGGAAUCUGCCCAGUCGUGGGGUAUAACGUAUGGAAACGUACGCUAAUACCGCAUGCGCCCUUUGGGGGAAAGCCGGGGACCUUCGGGCCUGGCGCGAUUGGAUGAGCCCAUGUUCGAUUAGCUAGUUGGCGGGGUAAAGGCCCACCAAGGCGACGAUCGAUAGCUGGUCUGAGAGGAUGAUCAGCCACACUGGGACUGAGACACGGCCCAGACUCCUACGGGAGGCAGCAGUAGGGAAUAUUGGACAAUGGGCGCAAGCCUGAUCCAGCCAUGCCGCGUGAGUGAAGAAGGCCCUCGGGUUGUAAAGCUCUUUUGUCCGGAAAGAAAAGCAUUCGGUUAAUACCCGGGUGUUCUGACGGUACCGGAAGAAUAAGCACCGGCUAACUUCGUG
rnacentral:rRNA from 1 species